AAUCCAUGCAUCGGGCAUUUCUGAAGUAAUUCUUUAAAUCGUUCCCAAGUUUCGUAUAGCAUUUCAUCCUCUGAUUACCAAAAGGAUGUGAUGUUAUUUCUAAGUUU
rfam:Gossypium raimondii Chr02_contig_147, whole genome shotgun sequence.